CUGAAUGGGGUUCAGGUCGAAGACUCACGUCACGCCCGUGGCGUGACGGAGUGGUCGGGGGUUCAAAUCCCCCCGCUCCGAC
rnacentral:tRNA from 1 species